rnacentral:rRNA from 1 species
UGGCGGACGGGUGAGUAACGCGUGGGCAACCUGCCCCAUACAGGGGGAUAACAGCCGGAAACGGCUGCUAAUACCGCAUAAGCGCACGGGACCGCAUGGUUCUGUGUGAAAAACAAUAGUGGUAUGGGAGGGGCCCGCGUCUGAUUAGCCAGUUGGCGGGGUAGAGGCCCACCAAAGCGACGAUCAGUAGCCGGCCUGAGAGGGCGGACGGCCACAUUGGGACUGAGACACGGCCCAAACUCCUACGGAAGGCAGCAG